AAAGUACAGCAGCAUUCACUUCAAUCUGCUACGAAAACUGUGGAUUGGAUAAUGACUCCCCUCAGCUUCACAGCUUCAUUUUGUGCCAGGAAUGGUGCACUGGCCUUCAUUUCUGCUGGAAUUUCAGGAAUGGCAGGUCCUGAGGAAGGCCAGCUAUGUCGGCAGCGGCACUCGCCUUGCCUUGCCUGAGGAGUUCUGCUCACAAAAAGCAUAAAUUUGCAAGAUCUGAGGUUGCUCCUGCAGUGGUGGAGGAGACUUCCCUGUGCAGUGAUGUUUUCCCCCAAGGAAGAGG